CAUACUGACUUGGCCGAAAAAACUCUGUCACGGGCAGACUAUAGCCGACGGUGCGGGACACACCAAAAAAACUCGGCCGAUGGACACUCAUCGACGGCCUCAAACUGUCUGUGGCCGACCGUCGGCUUGGUGUGUCAGGGCCUUAAGAGCCAAUCAGCUCUUUCAUCAGGUGACAGCCAGGCAUUUCCCAUCAUGCCCUGGGUCUUGCAGUUGGUGGAGAGCGACUGUGGCGCCUGGCUCUAAAAACUGCAGCCGCCGUGAUCUUGUGUGGUUAUCGCUGCCCACGUGUGCACGACGUCAGGGCAAGUCGGGAUCAAGUCGGACACAAAUAUAACCCCCAUGCAUUGCGAAGCGAUCGCUUCUGCACAGGCAGGCCUGGCUCAUCUCGAACGAGCCUAAUAUUAUACUGUAAAUCAUGGUUUUCAUAUUAAAACGUAUGAACAACCACUGCAGGCUGCAUCAAUUCACUCCAGGCAACCUCUACUUUCAUUGCACUUUAGCUUUGCACAUUUUGCCAGCAGCCCUUGAUAAUGAAAUCUCUAGUUUUCCACUCAGCUGAGGGGACAAACGGGGGCAGGCGAGGUGAAAGAAAAAUACCUACUCCUCCUACUCAUAU